rnacentral:lncRNA from 1 species
AUAGCAUCGAUUUGCUAGAUAAAGUCAUUAAAAACCUUUUCAUUUGACAAUGUUCGCUUUACAAAUCUUUUUAACCUUUUACAAAACCCGUACGACUCGUUUUGUCGUUGCUGCAAACCAGCCAUACCGGUAAUGGGUUCAUGAAUUCUGAAUUUGACAAUGUCCGUGAAAAAUAAGCUCCACAUGAAUUUUAACCCCCAUUACAAUUACCAAAAAUAGCAAGAAAACUACAUUGGGACUUUCGUGAUAGCUACUGGUCAUUCUCGACUAAGGGAAAGGGAGGGGGCAUGAGGGCUUGGCCUUUGAAGGGUUACAAAUGGCAAUUAUUGAAAAUAAAUAUACUUUUAUA